GAUGAACGCUGGCGGCGUGCCUAAUACAUGCAAGUCGAGCGAACAGACGAGGAGCUUGCUCCUCUGACGUUAGCGGCGGACGGGUGAGUAACACGUGGAUAACCUACCUAUAAGACUGGGAUAACUUCGGGAAACCGGAGCUAAUACCGGAUAAUAUAUUGAACCGCAUGGUUCAAUAGUGAAAGACGGUUUUGCUGUCACUUAUAGAUGGAUCCGCGCCGCAUUAGCUAGUUGGUAAGGUAACGGCUUACCAAGGCAACGAUGCGUAGCCGACCUGAGAGGGUGAUCGGCCACACUGGAACUGAGACACGGUCCAGACUCCUACGGGAGGCAGCAGUAGGGAAUCUUCCGCAAUGGGCGAAAGCCUGACGGAGCAACGCCGCGUGAGUGAUGAAGGUCUUCGGAUCGUAAAACUCUGUUAUUAGGGAAGAACAAAUGUGUAAGUAACUAUGCACGUCUUGACGGUACCUAAUCACAAAGCCACGGCUAACUACGUG
rnacentral:rRNA from 1 species